CUUGACCAAAAUUUGCUUUUGCUUGAGCUCGUUUGGGGAUCUAGAACCCGACUCAAGACUACAUACAGUUACAUCUCGUUCCUUUCCAACUUCAUCGGUAGACAGGGGUCAUGAACUUUCGCAACCCUUGUAUAUUUUGAUAACCGAAUCAUGGUAGAUUAACUGGAGGAAUCGAAUACAUGUAAUUAAAUCUUUUUGAUGUCACAUUUUCAUGUUCGAACUCGAUAUUCGUGGUGAUAUUUUUGAACCUGGUCAUAGAAUGAACAGAACGGAUUAGACUUCAACUAUCCUAAAGCAAAAAUGUCCAACAUGGUUCAGUCACUUCCCUCCGUAUCUGUAUCACCACUCCAUAAGGUUCUCCCCCCCAAUUCCAACGCUAUAACUUGUGCCCCCGCAAUUUCAAAUACACCAAGAGUUCCUGAAUUUAACUCCAGAUUUGAGCUCAACCAAGUGCUUGCCUAUGUCGUUAAAACUGGUACUGCAUUCUCCGUCCUCCCGCUUUCCCAUGUAGCCUCUCUUUGUGCUUUAACUCCUAGCUUCUCGGAUGCCCAGAAAAUCUUUAUGCGUGUUCGUCAACCUGAAAUUUUUCUUUGGAAUUCUUGCUUAAGAGAUUUUGCUGAGAGUGAUUCUCCAUUUAAUGCCAUUUUGUUGUUUCACCAACUGAGACUACACAAUGUCUCUCCUGAUAGCUUUACUUGCUCUUUUGUUCUCAAGGCGUGUCUGCAAAAUUUGGAUGUUUUUCAUGGAAGAAUUAUUCACGUUUAUAUUGAGAAACUUGGGCUUCAAUCUAAUUUAUUUUUGCAAAACAUGCUUGUGCUUUUAUAUGCAUCUUGUGGGGACAUAAAUGAUGCCAGGCAGUUGUUCGAUAAAAUGCUGCAACGAGAUGUAGUGACUUGGAAUAUAAUGAUCACCCAGCUAGUGAAGAGGGGUGAUGUUGAAUCGGCUUAUGAAUUGUUUUCGCAAAUGCCUGAGAGGAAUGUGAGGUCGUGGACGGCUAUGAUUGCAGGUUUUGUCCAAUGUGGGAAGCCUAAGGAGGCUAUUAAUCACUAUGCAGAGAUGGAAGAGAUGGGCUUAAGGCCUAAUGAGGCAACCGUGGUGGCCGUUCUAGCAGCUUGUGCUGAUCUAGGCAGACUUGAUCUUGGGAGAAAGAUUCAUGAGUACUCAGAGAAGAGCGGGUUCAAGAGAAAUAUUCGAAUUUGUAAUACGCUGAUUGAUAUGUAUAUCAAAUGUGGAUGUUUAAAAGAUGCUCAUGAUGUUUUUGAGGAUAUGAAGGUAAGGACAAUUGUUUCAUGGUCAGCCAUGAUUCAAGGGCUGGCAAUUCAUGGACAAGCUGAGGAAGCUUUGGAGCUAUUCUCCAAGAUGAUUCAGACAGGGUUGAAGCCAAACAGGGUCACCUUCAUUGGACUCUUGCAUGCUUGCAGCCACAUGGGACUGAUAGAUGAGGGCCGAAGAUUUUUUACUAGCAUGACUACGGAUUAUGGACUUAUUCCCAGUAUCGAACACUAUGGUUGCAUGGUUGAUCUAUUAAGCCGUGCUGGGCUCCUGCAAGAAGCCUAUGAGUUCAUAAAAGAUAUGCCAAUGAAACCAAAUGCAGUAGUCUGGGGCACCCUUCUUGGUGGGUGCAAGGUCCACAAGAAUAUUGAAAUGGCCGAAGAAGCAAUCAGACACUUGCAUGAAUUGGAUCCACUUAAUGAUGGAUAUUAUGUGCUUUUAUCAAACAUAUACGCAGAUGCAAAGCGAUGGGAAGAUGCGGCAAGGGUGAGGAAGUUGAUGAAAGAUAGACAGGUGAAGAAGACACCCGGGUGGAGUUCAAUUGUCGUAAAAGGUGUGGUUCAUGAAUUUGUAGCCGGAGAUGAGACCCAUCCUCAGGCUGAGGAGGUUUUUAAGAAAUGGUGCAAGCUACUCGAAUGCAUGAGGUUGAAAGGAUACGUGGCAAAUACCUCUGUGGUUCUAUUAGACAUGGAAGAGAGUGAGAAGGAAAGGUUUUUGUAUCGCCACAGCGAGAAAUUAGCUGUGGUUUUCGGGCUUCUCAGUACCCCACCUGGAGAAACAAUUCGGAUUUUCAAAAAUCUUCGAGUUUGUGAAGACUGUCAUGCUGCUUUAAAGUUGAUUUCUGAGAUUGUUAAUCGAGAACUAGUGGUUCGCGAUAGGAACAGGUUUCAUUGUUUUAAAGAUGGUUCUUGUUCUUGCAAGGAUUAUUGGUAGUUAAUGUGGAGUAGGAGGUAAAAAUAAAAUAAGGUCUUUCUUCAUAUUCUUCCCAGAUCCCAACCUGCUCUUCGCCAGCUGAGGAAAGGAGCAUUGGAAGCUUACCUUAUUGUGGGAAUGCUUGCUUGUAAACUCCCAAUUUAAAUGCUAAGAGCAUUUUUAAGAGACUAUAUUUUUCUAAAGAGCACGUUAUAUUAUUUGGAGAGCAUUUAUAAAUCAAUAAAGCUAUUUGUAUAUCUGGAGUGUCAAUUUAUAAAUCAAUAAAGCUAUUUGUACAUUCGAAGUUGACACCUCGAAUGACACUCCUCUCACAAGCGAGGGGGGUCCACACUUAAUAAGAUAAUUGUGGGGCCCCCUCUUGUGAGGGGAGUGUCAUACAAAUAGCAAAGUCCUUUAUAAAUUUAGCGAGUUAAAAUUUUGAAGAAUUC
rnacentral:lncRNA from 1 species